AGAGUUUGAUCCUGGCUCAGGACGAACGCUGGCGGCGUGCUUAACACAUGCAAGUCGAACGGAAAGGCCCUUCGGGGUGCUCGAGUGGCGAACGGGUGAGUAACACGUGGGUGAUCUUCCCCGCACUUUGGGAUAAGCCUGGGAAACUGGGUCUAAUACCGGAUAGGACCAUGGCCUUCAUGGGUUGUGGUGGAAAGCUUUUGCGGUGUGGGAUGGGCCCGCGGCCUAUCAGCUUGUUGGUGGGGUAAUGGCCUACCAAGGCGACGACGGGUAGCCGGCCUGAGAGGGUGACCGGCCACACUGGGACUGAGAUACGGCCCAGACUCCUACGGGAGGCAGCAGUGGGGAAUAUUGCACAAUGGGCGCAAGCCUGAUGCAGCGACGCCGCGUGGGGGAUGACGGGCCUUCGGGUUGUAAACCUCUUUCAGCACAGACGAAGCGUGAGUGACGGUAUGUGCAGAAGAAGCACCGGGCCAACUACGUGCCAGCAGCCGCGGUAAUACGUAGGGUGCGAGCGUUGUCCGGAAUUACUGGGCGUAAAGAGCUCGUAGGUGGUUGUCGCGUGUUCGUGAAACUCACAGCUUAACUGCGGGCGUGGGGGGCGAUACGGGCAGACUGGAGUACUGCAGGGGAGACUGAUGCUGGGUGUAGCGGGUGGAUGGCGCAGAAAUCAGGAGGAACACGGUGGCGAUGGCGGUCUCUGGCAGUACUGACGCUGAGGUAGCGAAUGCGUUGGGAGGAA
rnacentral:rRNA from 1 species